CGGGAUGUAGCGCAGCCUGGUAGCGCACCUGCUUCGGGAGCAGGGGGUCGACUGUUCGAAUCAGUUCAUCCCGACCA
rnacentral:tRNA from 1 species